rnacentral:lncRNA from 1 species
CUACUCCAAAUAGCGAACUUGAACCUAUAUAGCCAACAUACACAGCAAGGAUCCAUAUGGCUAGGGAUCAAGAGAAUAUGCAGUCAAACUAAGCAGCCUCGCUGCGAAUAACCAACACAUCGUAGGUCAAAGGAUUAGUUACACCACUGCAGUAUCGAGAAAGAUCACUGACGAGUGAGUAGACAUCUAAGUGAUUUCUUACAUUGGUCACGCUCAGUGCAAGUUGUUCUCUAACAACCACCUGCACUCUAAUCUCAAUGU